AUCUUUAGACUAUGAUUCUAACAAUAUAUCAACACAUGACUGCACAAAACAAAAACAAAAAACAAAAAAAGACCCUUUCAGUCUAAUAACAUAGGAAUCCAUAAAUAAAAAAAAAAUCAUAAAUUUAAUUUUUAAAAUUUUUAUUGUAUUUUUCAGAAACCCCCAAACUAAUCAAGAAUGGAUGGGAAACCAGAUCUUACUGAAAUUGCAACCUUUGACAAGAGUCAUCUUAGGAAAGCAGAGACAAAUGAAAAAAAUACCUUGCCUACUAAAGAAAUAAUAGAGCAGGAGAAAAGUAAUUAAGAUUCAAAAUGGAGACCAUGAAGUGGUAACUUAACAGCGUUACGUAACCUUAUUGGUUACGUUGCUGGUGGACAUGGUUAUCUCCGGGAUCUCAAAUAAGCUGUGGUUAAUAUCUUCACGCUAAUAUAAUGUCUUAAUUGGUGAUAACAUUAAAUUCAUCAUGUAAGCCAUCAGGAAAAAAAACAACCGAAAAUGGCUUAAUUAUUCCUUAAUGUAAUUUUUUUUUCCUUUUCUUUUUUUUUUGCAGUUUUUUAAAUAAAAAAUAAAGAAUGAAACAUCUUGAAUUUUCUUUCAAUCUGUUUUCCUUUUUCCACUAUAUUUCUUUAUUUUUUUAUUCUUUCAUUAUUAUUUACAUUUUACAUUUGUUUUAAAUUAAUUUUUUUUUUUCAUAAUUACAUAAUAAUUUUGUUAUCACCAUGUUAAAGCAAUAAAACUACAUUCCGGAUGGAUAAUUCUAUCACUGA